CUACUUCUCUGGCUCUUGACCCACCUCUGAUAUUGUUGUAUCAGACUGUAACAUCACUGCUCAGUGACGUCACUCAUUCAUCACCAGAGCCUCCAGGCAAGUUACACUUAUCUGCAGUCAAGGCUUUUCACUGAGAUAGUAAGAACUUUCUCAUCAUGUUCAUAGAUAUUCAGUUUCCCAAAAGCAUGAUCCUUUUCUCUCUCUGGCUCCUACAUAAUGUCUGCUAAGGUGGCUUUUAUUAAUUUUACUUUUCAGAUUUUUCCAAGGCCCUAUCUUCAGGGAACAUGGGAUAUGUUUACCCAGGAACAGGCAAUUCCAGGAGCAGAUGCAGCCCUAUAACAUAUGUUUAAAAUUUUUCUAUGUUCUACCAAAUAUCCAACGCGAAACUGAAAAAGUGAAUUCGAAACUGAUACCUAAUAUCUGGAUCUUAAAUGGAUCUAGAUAAAAUCCCAGACACAUCUAACUGAAUUUUACAAUUAAUGGCUUAUUGUUAGAGGUCCUCAAACAUAUUCCAGAAGUCGGAAGGAUGCAAUACAGCAGAGGAAGAAGAUGAGGACCCUGGUGAUUUGAGUACACAAGGUUGGCGAUGAGAUGCUGAUAUUUGAUUGCUCUUCACAAAAAAGGGAGAGAUAUGGACAUCCAAGCAAAAGCUGGGAAGAUUAGCACCAGCAAGGAAAGGGGAGAAAAGAUAUUUGGCAGAGGUCUGAGGAGCAUAGAAGUGACACAAAGGAGGGACACUGAAGAAAUUUUAGGCCACUUUCCUGAGACGUGCCUGACCAUGAGUCAGUCAGCAGGUGGCCUUAAGCAACAGGAAGAGGACUGCCUGAAUCCACUGUGCUCAAGUUCUAAGUCCCCACAGGUAUGAGAGAUGAGAGGAAACAAAGAAACACUCAGGGGACCCACAUUCUUUUUUUUUAAAGAUUUUAUUUAUUUAUUUGACAGAGAGAGAGAGGAGAAGGAGAGGAAGAAGCAGACUCCCCACUGAGCAGGGAGCCCAACAGGGGACUCUAUCAUGGGACUGAGGUCAUGGGAUCAUGACGCUCAUCCGACUGAGCCACCCGCGUGCCCUAGGAGUCCACAUUCUAUCUGGUGGAAGGUACCCUGUGCCCUGUUCUUGUGACUGCAAGAAACAGAGUCCUAAAGGCUGCCUGGAGUCCUGAGGACUUAUUAGCCGAAUACCUGGGGCAGUAAGAGAAAUGUGAAUUCCAAAUCUCAAAAUGGUCCCACUCAGCAAUAGCUGUUUAUUGAACCUCUGCCAGUAGGGAGAUAUGGCAAGUCUCCCUGUAUCAGCUUCUACCUUCUCAGUCUUCUUCCCCUCAUACUACAAGUGUUUGUUUCCUCCAGCCUACAACUUCCUGUGCCUUCUCAGGAACCUGAUUAUUUCUAUCUCUCUCUCUCUCUCUCUGUAUCUUGUCAGCUUUUGCUUCCAAUACCCAGGCAAAUCAGAAGCUCCCAUGUGGCACUCAAGCAUCAAUUUCUUUUAAAGCUCUCCAGGGGAUUCCAAUGUGCAAUCACGGUGGAGAAUUGCUGCACCAAAGAACAGGAAUAUGUGCAAGGCAAACUGGACUUAAAACUGCAGCUUUAGCCCAAAACAAAAUAUGUCGAAGAUGACAUCUCAAAAUGCCUGGACAUUGCUAUUACAAUGUUCUUUGUAUUUUAAUUUUAACUCAGUGUCUCAUUUCUCUUUCUAUAGAGCAUAAGUUUAUUCAUAUUUAUUUUAGCAUUUUAACUGUGUUGUUUUUAAAGGCAAGCAAAUACUGCCUUAGGAAGUCUGGUCUCAGUGCAAUCACUUCCUGGAGAAACCGUUAGUCAAGAGAUUGGGGCUCUCUAAUGAGUCAAGAAUGCCAUCUAGUGGUGACUACCUCUGAAUUCCAAAUACAAAUCUCAACUUUUAACAAAGCUCUUGAGCAAGUGACUGUCAAUUCCAACAAUUUAUCUGCCUGAAAUAAAAUACGACUGUUGGUAAAAAGUAGCUUUGCC
rnacentral:lncRNA from 12 species